AUGAAGUGGGGACAUUAUUCAAAAAAUAGCAUGUUUGAGCCUUCUAAAAUUAACAUCUAUUCCAAACAUGACUUUCAGACAUUACAAAGUGAAAUACCACCAAUUUUUAUUUACUUUGUAUGGCUACAUCCAUGUCAUAUGGAAGUUCCUGGAACAGGAGCCCAAUCAGAGCUGAAGCUGCCAGCCAAUACCACAGUCACAGCAACACUGGAUCUGAACUGCAUCUGUGACCUGCACUGCAGCUUGUGGCAACGCCGGAUCCUUAACCCACUGAGUGAGGCCAGGGAUCAAACCUGCAUCCUCAUGGAUACUAGUCAGGUUCUUAACCCACAGAGCCACAGUGGGAACUCAAGCACCGAUUUCUUGAAAGAUCAAGGGCAAGGGGAUCUAACAGAUUCUGAAAGCCAUGGGGCAGGCUCUCGGGUUCCACAGAGACUGAUGUGCAAUUACACACACACAGAGACACACACACACACACACACACACACACAGAAAGGAUCAUGUGCACUGGCUUUAUCACAAAGAUAAAGCCCCCAGUCCCUCCAGAAAUACUACUUAAAGAGAACAAAUGCAGCCAAGUCACACCAUCUCUCCAGCAGACAAACUAAACUCCCUGUUCUCAGUAACAAGCAUGAAACAAAGCAGGGGGGUGCUGGCAGCUGCUGCCCCCACACCCCCAAAGGAAUCCCAGAUGGGAGAUGGUUCUUGCCAUCACUCUCGCAACUCAUCCUUCAGGAAUGGUCACCUUGUCCUGUCACGUGGGAGGUGCCCUUCAAAAUACACACAAUAUGCCGCUGAGACACAUGACGGCUACUUCCUGUGCAGCGGAUGAAUUCAAGACCCUAGGGACAUUCUGUAUUUUACAGAUGAUUUGUAUAACUCAAAAGGGUACGUCUGCUUCUGUAUUUCCUUUCCAUUAACUGUCUUUAGAACCCGAAUCCCAGGCUCGGGGACCACCUACUCCAUCCCCUUUCUCAGUGUCAUCACUGUCCAGUUUUAGAGUUGCUUCCUCCUACCCCAAACCCCCACUCAUCCCUGCCUGUCUUCUAUUUCCCCCCUACUUUCUCUGUGUCCCCUGAAACUCUGAGCUGCAGUGAACAGAUUGCUCCACAUCCUCUGUUAGGCUGAAUUGUCCCCAGCCUCCUCUGAGUUACAGCUACUCCCAGGGGACCCUGCUACUGCAAUGGAGAUGGUGCUUCCAGACCCUCCGUCCCUACCGUCUGUGUUCUAAUUCCUUCAUCGGGCAGUCUCUCUCUUUCCCUCUCUCUC
rnacentral:lncRNA from 1 species